AUCCUUAAGUCAAAGUUAAAAAUAAGUCUGAGUUUUAUUACUGAUGAGAAAGCAUCAUGUCAUCCAAUUGAUGAUGAGUCUUAAAUUAUUCUUGUUUUUUUUUAGCUUCGCCAAGGAAAACCCGACUGGUUCGAAAAGUUCACGCCUAGAUAACCUAGAAUGGAAUAGCACU
rnacentral:misc_RNA from 1 species